UAGCCUGGCAUCUUCUUUUCGUGA
rnacentral:siRNA from 1 species